ACCGAGAAGACGACCGAACUUGAUCAUUUAGAGGAAGUAA
rnacentral:rRNA from 2 species